AUUUACAUAGUUCUGAUAGUCCUUUACAUUUAGAAUUGUAAGAUAUUUUAUAUUUUUUUAGUCAUUGAACUUUUGCAGUACAAUGUAAAAUGAUUUGACUCUUUUGAUUAAGGCCAAAUCUGGACAGUCAGGUAUGACUUAUGAAUUGCUAAUAAUUCUAAAUUUCUCUAUGGGAUUUACCCAAAUAUCUGACUGUUGCAGAACUAUCAUUUAAGGUAUAUUAUUACUUUGCCACUAAUUUUUAUGCAAGUCUGAGUCUGGCAAGAAUGUAAAUGGCUUUGUAUACAGGCUCGAGUAUGAGGUGUAUCAUGAAAAUGAGGCCACCUGCAGAAUGGCAAUGUUUUGAAAAAUCUCAGAAUAACAGACUUUUUCUCCUUGAUGGCAGGUAUGCUUGAUACCUACAUGACUGUUUUCUACCUGGGAAUGCCACGUCAGUAACAGAAGUAUCAGCAACUUGAUGCAGAGGAAACAUGGAUCCUUUUGUGUUUACAGAGAAAUGUGUCUCAUGAUAAGAUUCAGCUAUGAGAGAUACUUGUAUUGUAAGUUAUGUAAGAGUGCUGAUUGCAUUGCUCUGUUGGAAGCCUGCACAGUCAUGAUGGAUACAUCUCGAAAACUCUUCCACACACAAUGUUCAGGCAAUGUUGAAUUGAAUGUGGCAGAAAAAUUGAAAGAGGCAGAUUUUCAAGGACUUGGCAAGGGCUUUGAGACUGUUGUGGACAUUUAGGAGCCUUGCCGAUUCCUAUAUUCAGCAUGAUCUUUGAAAGCCUGAAAAUCCUUUGCACUUUUAAGUGAUAUAUAACACCAUGUACUGAGUGUCUAUAGAAAGAUAAUGCAUCUUGGAUGUCAUGAAAGAAUGCAUAUGCAGAGGAAGAGGGUUUCAAGACUCAUUAGGACUUCACAGAGUUGAAGAUAAUCUAUUGCCCUGUUCUUAAUGGAGGCAACAAUGCUUCCAGAUUAAGAUGUUUCCCCUGCCUUCUGUGAAAAGUUAUACUGGGAAGAGGAUGAUCUGCACAGCCUGUGCUUUCACCAGCAGCAAGACUCUGACAGUGCUGCAUAAUGAAGUUGCAAUCAAGGUCUACAGCCAUGAUUCCUGCCGGCAUCCUGAGAAGCUGACAAUGGAGGAGAACACUUCCACUUAAUUACUGAAGAUGUCCUUCUCUGCCUUCUCCUGAGAAGCUUUUGCUGAAGACACAGACACUGCACCUGGCUGGUGGUAUUGUAAUUUGGGGGAUUAUCUUCUUUUGUGAUUCACUAUAACUUUCAUAUGUGUAAACCACAAUUAAAUUAUUAUGUUUCUGUGCAUUAUCAUUUUUCUCACCAUAGUUUUAAUUCCAUACAUUUUGUGUAUGUCUUACUAUUUCUCUAGAUAUCACAUGAUGUUCUUUACACCUAUAUGUAAUUUAUAAAACUUGACACACAUACAUGUGCUGUUCAUUUUCCACACUAAUUUACCUGAGCACAGUGUCCUGCAAAUUCUCUGUGAUGUGGCAUUCACUUGAUUCUAUUCCUUUGUAACUAUUGGUAAAGCUCUCCUCCUUUGUUGGCUUAUAAGUGUUGCAUUUCAUUUAAUUUCAUGAAAUAUCAGCUUCAUACUUGACCUGAUCUGUUGAGUCUUUUCUCAUCUUUCAUUAAUUUUUAUUAAUAAAUGUAAUUUUCAUAGAUUUGUA